rnacentral:misc_RNA from 1 species
GAAUCCUUUGCGAGCAAAAAUGAAGAUUAAUAGGUAUUUGCUGCCUAUUAAGGCUCACUACUUCUUUUUCAUGGCAGCAAUAGGUCCUAUUCUACCCCAACUGCCCGUCUAUGGGAAAGAAAUGGGCAUAUCAACAGUAGUUAUGGGAACUGUUACAGGAAUUCUGCCCAUAUCGUUCCUCAUCGCUAAACCCCUGUUUGGUCUACUCGUUGACUUCUACCGAAAUUAUAGGAAAACCAUUUUUAUGCUGAUUAUUUUUACGAUGGCAUUGUCUUUUACUGGUAUAGCGUUCAUACCGGUGCCCAGUCAUUAGUCACACUAUAUUGGAAGGUCCAGUACAAGAGUAUUACUUGGAUACAUGUAAAUUGAUAGUCAGUAGUUAGUAUUAUGGACUUUUUAAUAAGCUGUUGGGCAUAUUGAGGAUGUGUGGAAGUCAAACUGAAAUUAGAUUUCAGCUUUUCCUAAAGUGUACUCAUGUUUAUUAAAAAAGUCCUUGAAUAAAACUACUUUUUGCUUAUUUGAUUCUUCA